rnacentral:rRNA from 1 species
GACGAACGCUGGCGGCGUGCCUAAUACAUGCCAGUUGAGCGCUGAAGGUUGGUACUUGUACCGACUGGAUGAGCAGCGAACGGGUGAGUAACGCGUGGGGAAUCUGCCUUUGAGCGGGGGACAACAUUUGGAAACGAAUGCUAAUACCGCAUAAAAACUUUAAACACAAGUUUUAAGUUUGAAAGAUGCAAUUGCAUCACUCAAAGAUGAUCCCGCGUUGUAUUAGCUAGUUGGUGAGGUAAAGGCUCACCAAGGCGAUGAUACAUAGCCGACCUGAGAGGGUGAUCGGCCACAUUGGGACUGAGACACGGCCCAAACUCCUGCGGGAGGCAGCAGUAGGGAAUCUUCGGCAAUGGACGAAAGUCUGACCGAGCAACGCCGCGUGAGUGAAGAAGGGUUUCGGAUCGUAAAACUCUGUUGGUAGAGAAGAACGUUGGUGAGAGUGGAAAGCUCAUCAAGUGACGGUAACUACCCAGAAAGGGACGGCUAACUACGUG